GGCCACGUAGCCAAGUGGUAAGGCAGUUCUCUGCAAAAGACCUAUACGUCGGUUCGAUUCCGACCGUGGCCU
rnacentral:tRNA from 1 species